GUAUGGAAACCUACUAAGUGAUAACUUUCAAAUUCAGAGAAACCCCGGAAUUAAUAAAAAUGGGCAAUCCUGAGCCAAAUCCUGUCUUCUAAAAACAAAGGUUCAGGAAGUGAAAAGGGGAUAGGUGCAGAGACUCGAUGGAAGCUGUUCUAACAAGUAGAUUAAUCUUUUUUUUUUUUCGAAACUUCAUAAAGGAUGAAGGAUAAACGGAUCUAUUGAAUACUAUAAAAAAAAAUUAACGGUGGGCCGGGUCUGUAUCUGUAUUUUGUUUAAAUGCAAAAGAAAAAAAAAAAGACUUGGUGUAAAGUGAUUCCACAUUCAAGAAAGAAUCGAAUAUUCAUCAAAUCACCCACUCCACAGUCUGAUAGAUCUUUUAAAGAACUGAUUAAUCGGAUGAGAAUAAAGAUAGAGUCCCAUUCUACAUGUCAAUACCGACAAAAAGGAAAUUUAUAGUAAGAGGAAAAUCCGUCGAAUUUAAAUCUCKUGAGGGUUGUAAGUCCCUCUAUCCCCAAAAARGCCUAUUUAUAUUUAUCCUACCCCCUUUUUUCGUUAGCGGUUCAAAAUUCCUUUAUCUUUCUGAUUCUUUUAUAUUGGGACGUAAAUAACUUUCUUUUAUCACAUGUGAUAUAGAAUACACAUCCAAAUGAAGCAAGGAAUUCCUAUGUAAAUGAUUCACAAUCAAUAGCCUUCUUUUUGAAGAUUCAAGAAAUUACAUUUACAUACAGGACUUUGAGAAAACUUUCUAAUUCCUCGUUGUACCUUUAAUUGACAUAGACCCCAGUCAUCUAAUAAAAUGAGGAUGGAAUGUUCCAUUGGAAAUGGUCGGGAUAGCUCAGCU
rnacentral:misc_RNA from 1 species